AUGACCGUCCAGGGUUGGAAGAAAUCACUUUAUAAUCCACUAAACUGUACUGUCUCUCAUUGGUCAGAUAUAAUAUUAUGGCCCUCCUUAGUGGCCCAUAUUUUGAACAGCAGAGGACAUUCUGGGAGAAAGGUGGAUUUGAAUUUUUUCUGUUGUGUUGUGAGCAACUGUACUUCAGAGGACAAGGAGGCUGAAGUUUGGGGAGCUAUUUCUGGACUAUUAUGGAUUGUUUUGAAAAUGCCCUGUGGACUUCAGCUGCUAGACUAUAAAAGGUAGUGCGCCUUUACAUUUCUAAAUACAGUACCCCAAACCUGUAGGUUGCCUUUGCUCUUGUAGCAUUUCUUCCAUUAUCGUUGCAACAUGUGGUGCAUCCUGAGAAGGUUUGAAGAGUUGCCAAUGUUGUCAUCAGUGCUUUUAAUGAGGGUAGAAUCAAUAGAGAGAAGAUGCAGCAUUUGAAUUGCUAGGGAGGAGAAGAGGAUUAGUGGACAAUCAAAGAUGGAGGAAAAAUAGAAAAUUUUGCAGGUAGAGAAGUGUGUUGUUCUUCCUCCCAUCCUUGAGCUUUACCUAGAUUCAAGGUACUCAGCAAAAUACCAAUAUGAGGUUAACAGGAGUUCAUCUGACUGAUUGGCCCUUUGGAUUGGAUUCUAUAAUUGUGCUUAGUGCCCUAAAGUAAGAUGAACAAUCUGUAGUUUACAAAGGUUUAUAAACAUUGCCUCAGCUUUUGACAGAUUCUUCUUCAAUGAAAUAGCCUGGCUAUGUUGAUUUAUGCUUGGAAUUCCCUGUCCAAUUGCACUGGAGACUUGAAAAAUGCCUGAUGGUUCCUUGAUGAGAAUAGUACAUGAUAAAGGCAGGCCAUAAUUCAUCUCUACUCUGUGCAUUGUUUUGUUGCAGUUGAAAUGGAAUUUCAUUAGAAAGGCACUCAUGCCACAUCAACAAAGGGUUGAUUGGUCAGGGGGUGCUAAGGUUCCUUGUAUUGAAUUUGACUUGAAACUGUACAUUUUAUACAUUCAUUUCCCACUCCUGAGUAUGGAUGAAAGGUAGUAAAGAAAAACGGGGAGGAAAAUUUUGUCGUCACAGAGAAUAAAAAUUGACCUAUAUAUUUAUAGGAUUAAUUC
rnacentral:lncRNA from 1 species